AUUGAACGCUGGCGGCAUGCCUUACACAUGCAAGUCGAGCGGCAAGACGGGCUUCGUGCUGCUGUCGAGUUGCGAACGGGUGAGUAAUACAUCGGAAGAUGCCCUGUAGUGGGGGAUAGCUUAACGAAAGCAGAACUAAUACCACAUACGACCUUAGGGUGAAACCCAGGGAUCUUCAGUCCUCGAGGUAUUUGCUCUCCCUAUGGCAGAUUAGCUAGUUGGUAGGGUAAAGGCCUACCAAGGCGACGAUCUGUAGCUGCUCUGAGAGGACGACCAGCCACACUGGAACUGAGACACGGUCCAGACUCCUACGGGAGGCAGCAGUGGGGAAUUUUGCACAAUGGGCGAAAGCCUGAUGCAGCAAUGCCGCGUGUGUGAUGAAGGUCUUCGGAUCGUAAAGCACUGUUAGUGGGGAAGAACAGGAGUGUGAGAAUCCCUGGGUGUCUUGACGGUACCUGCACAAUAAGCACCGGCUAACUACGUG
rnacentral:rRNA from 1 species